rnacentral:rRNA from 1 species
UACGUAGGCAGCAAGCGUUGUUCGGAAUUACUGGGCGUAAAGAGUGUGUAGGCGGUGCUCUAAGUUUGGUGUGAAAUCUCCCGGCUCAACUGGGAGGGUGCGCCGGAAACUGGAGUGCUUGAGCGUGGGAGAGGAAAGCGGAAUUCCUGGUGUAGCGGUGAAAUGCGUAGAUAUCAGGAGGAACACCUGUGGUGUAGACGGCUUUCUGGACCAUAGCUGACGCUGAGACACGAAAGCGUGGGUAGCAAACAGG